CUCUUCAAAAAAGGCAGGUCAAGAGCGUGAGAGACGGUUGCUAUGGCUUGAACGGCCAAUAAAUCAAACACUCCAAGGGAUAAAUUCCCACCGCUCCAGGUGGUGGAGAGUGGAUGCUGAUGGGGGACGAAAAAGAGACCUGGAAAGUUAAAACUCUUGAAGAAAUACUACUGGAGAAAAAACGCAGAAAAGAAUUAGAAGAGCGAACUGAUAUCAAGCACCCAAACAAUAAUUCCCAAAGCAUCGUUCCACAGGCGGAUGCUCGGGAAUCCAAACGCGAGACCCCGGAGGAAGGAGAACUACGGGAUCAAAGGAUGGAAAUAACAAUUCGCAAUUCCCCCUACAGUCGUCAAGAUUCCACAGAGGACAGAGGCGAGGAAGACGAUUCACUAGCUAUUAAGCCUCCACAGCAAGUUGCAAGGAAGGAGAAAUCUCAUCACAGAAAGGAGGAGAAGAGAAAAGACAAACGACAUCAUCGCAGCCACUCAGCUGAGGGUGCGGGGAAGCAUGCCCGGCCCAAAGAUAAAGAAAGGGAUCGAGAUCGCAGGAAGCGUCAGUGGGAAGAAGACAAAGCCCGGCAAGACUGGGAGAGGCAGAAACGACGGGAGCAGGCCAGAGCUCAUUCACGCAGAGAGAGACCCAGACUGGAAUCUCCCGGGUUUUUUUUGGACCACAGGGACCGUCUGGAACAGCAGGAACGGCAGCGUGAGCGUGACAGAAAACUGCGCGAGCAAGCGAAAGAGCAGCGAGAGCUCAAGGACCGAGAGAGGAGGGCCGAUGAGCGCCGCAAAGAACGAGAGGGUCGACGAGACGUGUCUUCACACCACCGAAUGUUACCGGAAGAGUAUGGCGAGAAGUCGAAGCAGAGUCACCGCAGCCGCAGUCCUGCUCAUGUUCCUCGGGAGAAAACGGAACCUGGUGAACUCCGGAAAUUGACAUCAAAGGAGGAGAGGCCUGAGGUUCAAGACCUACUCGCAGACCUUCAAGACAUCAGUGACAGCGAAAGGAAAACCAGCUCUGCUGAGUCUUCUGCUGCAUCAAGAUCUGGUUCUGAGGAGGAAGAGGGGGAGGAAGAGGAGUCCAGCAGCAAGACUGAUGGUGAAGAAGAGGAAGGAGAGGAGGAGGAGGAGGAUGAGGAAGGGCAGGAGGAAGAGGAGGGAGAGUCCGUCUCGGUCUCUGGCUCAGAGAGAUCUGAGCAGAGUGCAGAGGAAGUGAGUGAGGAGGAGCAGUCAGAGGAGGACUUUGCAGAGGAGCAGGAAAAUGGAAAUCAUGUACUUCCAGCAGUGCCCGAAUCCCGGUUCGACCACGACACAGAGGAAAGCGGUGAGGAGAUGGAGGAUGAGGAGGAAGAAGAGGCAGGGGAUGCUGACCCGACUCCCCAGUCGCAGACUCAUUCACGCACCCCAACACCUGAAGGCAACUAUAUUCCUGACUCCCCGCCAAUUUCACCCGUGGAGCUCAAGAAGGAGCUGCCCAAAUAUUUGCCCGCUUUACAGGGCUGUCGCAGCGUCGAGGAAUUCCAAUGUCUGAACCGAAUUGAGGAGGGGACGUACGGUGUGGUGUACAGAGCUAAGGACAAAAAGACCGAUGAAAUUGUGGCAUUAAAAAGGCUGAAAAUGGAGAAGGAGAAGGAGGGCUUCCCGAUCACGUCUUUGCGAGAAAUCAAUACCAUCAUGAAAGCGCAGCACCCCAACAUUGUCACAGUGAGGGAAAUAGUUGUCGGAAGCAACAUGGACAAGAUCUACAUUGUGAUGAACUACGUUGAGCAUGACCUGAAGAGUUUGAUGGAAACCAUGAAGCAGCCUUUCCUGCCAGGAGAAGUCAAGACACUGAUGAUUCAGCUGCUUCGAGGAGUCCGCCAUCUCCACGAUAACUGGAUUCUCCACCGGGACCUGAAGACCUCCAACCUGCUGCUUAGUCACAAGGGCAUCCUUAAGGUCGGUGACUUUGGUUUAGCCCGUGAGUAUGGUUCCCCGCUGAAGCCCUACACUCCUGUCGUGGUGACCUUGUGGUACAGAUCACCGGAGCUGCUGCUCGGAGCCAAGGAGUACUCCACAGCUGUCGACAUGUGGUCUGUGGGCUGCAUAUUUGGAGAGCUCCUCACCCAGAAACCUCUUUUUCCUGGAAAAUCCGAAAUCGACCAAAUCAAUAAAAUAUUCAAGGAUCUGGGGUCACCCAGUGAGAAAAUCUGGCCGGGCUACAACGAGCUGCCCGCUGUGAAGAAGAUGUCUUUCACAGAGCAUCCUUACAAUAACCUGCGAAAGCGCUUUGGCGCGCUGCUCUCGGACCAGGGCUUCGACUUAAUGAACAAAUUCCUCACCUACUGUCCCAGUAAGCGGAUCCUGUGCGACGAGGGUCUCAAGCACGAGUACUUCCGCGAGACGCCGCUGCCCAUCGAACCGUCCAUGUUCCCCACGUGGCCGGCCAAGAGCGAGCAACAGAGGGUGAAGAGAGGCACCAGCCCUCGGCCGCCCGAGGGAGGCCUGGGCUACAGUCAACUGGGAGACGACGACCUCAAAGACACGGGCUUUCACCUGACCACCAGCAAUCAGGGAGCAUCCGCAGUGGGUCCUGGAUUCAGCCUGAAAUUCUGAGCGCGGGCUCCCCGGCUGAGAAAGAAGAGCUCGCGCACGGAAUACCGCCAACUGGACUCAACUGCAAAGCAGAACAAUAUGGCAUCGGCGCUAUAGCUGUCGACGAGGACCGUCUCACAGCGAGAAUGGUGGCUAUGACGUGUUCCCAAAUGUUACAACUCUCCUCCACCUGUGGUACCAUAUCCAGCGUGGUAAUUUAGUUAGUUUAGCGUCUUACUUUUUUUUUUACUUCAUGAGAGAGGUUCCAAUUUAAUGAAUGGUGUGACGAUGGAGGUACUGGUCAAUGAUGCGGGAAUUUGCUUUCCAUCCGGCAGAGCGACUCAGAGCUGAUGGGGACUUUUUAUUUUUUUUUAAAUCAGAAAUAAAGAACAAUGAAACUUAGUUUUGUAAUUGGGUUGCUUUGCCAACACAACGCUGCUUCGCCAGAGCAGUGGGGGUCAGAGUGGGGGUGACCGUCCCCUCUGUCUCUAGUUGUCCAAGGUGAUGUCAUUCUGCUUGUCGCCACGCAGACCGCCAUUCCGAAUUAAAUAGCUGCACAGUGUUGGAAUUGAAUAAAUCAACUCUGGGGAUUCGUGGCCCACCACAAAAAAAAAAAAAAAAAAAGCGGCAGCACACAUCUGCUCAGUCUAAGAUGUUGUGACGCUUUAACAAAACAGACAGACCGAGAAGUCAGUUAUUGAGUUUGAUCGUUCCAGGUCCAGUGGAGCUCUUCUGUCCAAGCGUUCCAGCUGGUGUGUGGAAGAAGAGCAGCUGGUGCAUCACGUGACUGAUGAUGUUUGGCACGAGACCAUCAGAGGAAAACAAGUGUACGUGCCCUCGUUGAUGGCGUUGGCCACGAUAGUGAUGUGGUCGUCCUUCAAAGAGAAGUAGUUUGGGUGUGAAAACUCCAGAAGCUCGCCGUCUUUGUACCAGCUGAAAAUUGUGAGGAAGACGGCGCUCGGUGAGGAAGCGCGCGGCACAGCAAACCGCGCGACACGAGGUAGAGUGGAACCGCUAAAGUCAACCCAAAAAUCCAUCCGUCCCAGCUGACUUGUGGAGCAAGAGGCAGACGGCACGCCACGGCGGUGACGCUAACCUGUGCUGCUUUCAGCCAUGGCGCCUCAGGUAAAACACAUCGUGAAGAAAAAUUUCGAAGUCAAACUACGUGCCAAAUGAUUCAAUGGUGUGUUCUUACUUUGAUGCCAUCACAAAAGGCUUUCGAGUGCUUACAAAGGGAGAAAAAAAAAUGUGAUCGUGACCAGAAAUAGAAGUUCCCAUUUCGCACAGUUUGUGUGUAAUGGCUAAAGGAACAUCAGUUUAGAAAAAAAGAAAAAAAAAAGAACAAAGAACGCAAUUUACACUGCUGCACUUUUGUGACGAAUCAAGUAA